rnacentral:rRNA from 1 species
GGGGGAUAAGCUUCAUUGUCAAGAGGGAAACAGCCCAGAUCACCAUUUAAGGCCCCUAAAUAAUUGCUAAGUGAUAAAGGAUGUAAUAGUACAUAGACAACCAGGAGGUUUGCCUAGAAGCAGCAAUCCUUUAAAAAGUGCGUAAUAGCUUACUGGUCAAGUGCUUUUGCGCCGAAAAUGAAUGGGACUAAGUAAUUUGCCGAAAGUGUGAGAUUAUAUCGGUAGAAGAGCGUUCUGUAUUAGUGUGAAGCAAUGGCGGGAGCUUUUGUGGACUAUUCAGAAGUGAGAAUGACAGCUUAAGUAACGAAAACAUUGGUGGAAAUCCAAUGCUCCGAAAACCUAAGGAUUCCCUCGCAAGGUUCGUCCACGAGGGGUUAGUCAGGACCUAAAAUGAGGUUUAAAAACAUAGUUGAUGGUUAACGGGUUAAUAUUCCCGUACUGCUUAUUUGUUUUGUUAAAGUUGACGAAGGAGGCUAGUUCGGCCAGUUUUUGGUUAUUAUUGGUUAAAUCUUCAAAGGCGUAGAGAUUAGUUAUAAAAAACUUUUUGAGCUAAUGAGAAAUUACGAUAGGUGUUACGGCACUGAAAGUGAAUGAGGUCAAACUUCCUAGAAAAUACUUGGUAACGUUUAACAGAUAGUACCUGUACCUUAAACUGACACAGGUAGGUUAGUAGAGAAUACUAAGGAGCGCGAGAUAACUCUUUCUAAGGAACUCGGCAAAAUGACUCUGUAACUUCGGGAGAAAGAGUGCCUUAUAUUUAUAAGGCCGCAGUGAUCAGAUCCAAGCGACUGUUUACCAAAAACACAGGUCUCCGCUAAGUUGAAAAACAAUGUAUGGGGGCUGACGUCUGCCCAGUGCCGGAAGGUUAAAGAAAUUGGUUAGCAAUUGCGAAGCUAGUGACUGAAGCCCUGGUGAACGGCGGCAGUAACUAUAACUGUCCUAAGGUAGCGAAAUUCCUUGUCGGGUAAGUUCCGACCUGCACGAAAGACGUAACGAUUUGGAUACUGUCUCAGGAAGAGGCUCGGUGAAAUAGAAUUGACUGUGAAGAUGCGGUCUACUUACACUUGGACAGAAAGACCCUAUGAAGCUUUACUGUAACUUGAAAUUGGUUUUGGAUUUUUUUUGCGCAGGGAAUAGGUGGGAGGCUAUGAACCUCUUUUUCGGAAGAUGGGGAGCUGUAAUGUGAGAUACCACUCUUGAAAAAUUAGAAAUCUAAUGAUAUUUUAAUCAUGAUAUUUGACAGUUUCAGGUGGGCAGUUUUACUGGGGCGGUAGCCUCCUAAAAGGUAACGGAGGCGCACAAAGGUUUUCUCAGGCUGGACGGAAAUUAGUUGUAGAGUGUAAAGAUAUAAGAAAGCUUGACUGUGAGACUUAUAAGUCGAACAGAGACAAAAGUCGGUCUUAGUGAUCCGAAGUUGCUGUGUGGAAAGGACUUCGCUUAUCAGAUAAAAGUUACUCUAGGGAUAACAGGCUGAUCUCCCCCAAGAGUUCACAUCGACGGGGAGGUUUGGCACCUCGAUGUCGGCUCAUCGCAUCCUGGGGCAGUAGUAUGUCCCAAGGGUUAGGCUGUUCGCCUAUUAAAGCGGUACGUGAGCUGGGUUCAGAACGUCGAGAGACAGUUCGGUCCAUAUCCGGUGUAAGCGUUAGAGCAUUGAAAGGAGCUUUCCUUAGUACGAGAGGACCGGGAAUGACACACCACUGAUUUGCCAGUUUUUGUACCAACGGAAAACGCUGGGUAGUCACGUGUGGAGUGGAUAACUGCUGAAAGAAUA